rnacentral:SRP_RNA from 1 species
GCUGGGCACAGUGGCACGUGCCUAUCGUCCCAGCUACUCAGGAGGCAGAGGUGGGAGGAUCGCUUGAGCCCCGGAGUUCUGGGCUGUAGUGCUCUAUGCCAUUGGGUGUCUGCACGAAGUUUGGCAUCAACAUGGUGACCUCCUGGGAGCGGUGGACCACCAGGUUGCCUAAGGAGGAGUGAACUGGCCCAGACUGGAAAUGGAGCAGGUCAAAAUUCCCGUGCUGAUCAGUAGUGGGAUCACACCUGUGAAUAGCCACUGCACUCCAGCCUGGGCAACAUAGCGAGACCCCGUCUCU